rnacentral:rRNA from 1 species
GUUGGGUAGGGGAGCGUUCUGUAAGCCUGUGAAGGUGUGUCGUGAGGCAUGCUGGAGGUAUCAGAAGUGCGAAUGCUGACAUAAGUAACGAUAAAGCGGGUGAAAAGCCCGCUCGCCGGAAGACCAAGGGUUCCUGUCCAACGUUAAUCGGGGCAGGGUGAGUCGACCCCUAAGGCGAGGCCGAAAGGCGUAGUCGAUGGGAAACGGGUUAAUAUUCCCGUACUUGGUGUUACUGCGAAGGGGGGACGGAGAAGGCUAUGUUGGCCGGGCGACGGUUGUCCCGGUUUAAGCGUGUAGGUGUGUGUUCCAGGUAAAUCCGGUUCACUUUAACACUGAGGCGUGAUGACGAGGCACUACGGUGCUGAAGCAACAAAUGCCCUGCUUCCAGGAAAAGCCUCUAAGCAUCAGGUAACAUCAAAUCGUACCCCAAACCGACACAGGUGGUCAGGUAGAGAAUACCAAGGCGCUUGAGAGAACUCGGGUGAAGGAACUAGGCAAAAUGGUGCCGUAACUUCGGGAGAAGGCACGCUGACACGUAGGUGAAGUGAUUUACUCA